UACGUAGGUGGCAAGCGUUGUCCGGAAUUACUGGGUGUAAAGCGCGCGUAGGCGGUAGGCCAAGUCUGCUGUGAAAUCGCCCGGCUCAACUGGGCGCGGUCGGUGGAAACUGGUCAACUGGAGGACGGUAGAGGCGAGUGGAAUUCCCGGUGUAGUGGUGAAAUGCGUAGAGAUCGGGAGGAACACCAGUGGCGAAGGCGGCUCGCUGGGCCGGACCUGACGCUGAGGCGCGAAAGCGUGGGGAGCAAACAGG
rnacentral:rRNA from 1 species